UUGGGGUUACCGCGGAAACAGCGGCUGGAAGUGAGGGAGGGAACACAGGAUACGCGGAAGUCGCAGGCUCAGGGAAGGAAGGGGACGCCGGGACCGCGGGAGGCACGGCCACGGGGGAGUUGGAGGGCGCUGGGACCGCAGAAACUAUCGCCGAGAACGAGAACUCAACAAAACAGACUCAGCUGUGGCACCCGGAAAGAAUUUGAAGACCCAAAGAAAAAGAACCCUCAGAUCACCCUUAGAGAACUUAGCAUUAUAUUUAAGAAGGGCCUUAGAAACUUGGGAAUGUCUUUCUGCUCAAUGGAUAGUUUGCUACCCAUUGAGAGGUCUCCCUCUUAAGAGAUAAAAGAAAGGAAAAAAAAUAUAGAAAAGGUGACAGUCACCAGACUAUAGUCACCACCUCAGUGUGUCAGAAAAAAAAAAUCUCAGAGGAGGUUUUGCUGAUUCGGCCGGUCCUCGAAGCCUCGAGGGUUGUCGGCCGCCCCCAGAGAAAUCCCCCAGAAAAUAGGGGUUUUUUCUCUCAGGGAACUGGAACAGUGACUGUGACUUAGAAUCCAGAGGAGAUCCAAUGGAGACACUUUCAAAAGGCUAGAUAAAGCCUCAAGUUCAGGGCCCAGUUGUGCGCCAAUUAGAAAAAUGCGGGUGUUGAGUGGUGGGUGCUGCUGCCUAAUAUCUGUUCCCAAUGAACCUCUCCUGUAGAAAAGCAGGUUGGGUAAACAUUCACGCAAUGCAGUCAGAUCCCCACACAACACUCACUGCAGCAGGCUCAGAAGAGAGGCAAGAAUGGCUCUUUUUGCAAGGUUUUAUUCCAGCAAGAUAAAUCACAGGAAGCUGAAGGGAACCUGGCAAGAAAGAGGACCACCAUGUGGUGCAGGCAACUUAAGAAGGGGAAGGAGUGGGGGAUGGAGAUAAGGGCUGGGCAGAGGGGAUUGGUCUCCAGGGGAAAGGGCACAGCCACCAGGGAUAUCCAACCAAUGAGGGAACAGGGAAAGGAGAAACCAGGGGAAGUCCAUGGGGGAGUCUGUCUUUUCCCUCCAGGAAGACUACUCUAUGGUAUUUAGUCACUGCCUUCACCAGGGCAGAGGACUUGGGAAUUGACUGAGAGCAGAGAGUUCAUGGGAUGCUACACUGGAUGAACAAUCAACAUAUAUUCUUUCCCCUUCUGAGAGGGCUUGCUCUACUAGAUCCUCCAGAACUUUAGUUCGGUAUUGGAUAAUUUCUAAACAAUUAUGUGUUGAAUUACUUUUUGGUUUCCCAUAUAAAAAUUGUGCUGGAUUCAAACUUUUGUUUACUUCUAGUGCUAGGUCAUCACUGUUUAUCAAAAUAGCUUGACAUUUUAAUAUCCUAGAAUCUGUUAGCCAGUUUUCAGCUUUUUGAUUUAACAUAUUUCAGACUGCAUGAGGUGUAUACACAAUUAGUUUACUUCCAAAAGUAAGUUUAUGGCUUUCCUCCACCAAAAUAGCAGUAGCUGCUAUAGCCUGAAUACAAACUGUCCAUCCAUGGCUCACUGGAUCCAAGAAUUUUGAUAAAUAUGCUAUUGGUCUUUUUAUCCCCUCCCCCCCCCCCCCAACCCCCCAGUCUUGGACUAAAACUCCAUGAGCUACUGCACCUUCCACAAUCACAUACAGAAGACAGGACUAUUCUAAUGAAGGCAAACUCAAACCAGGUACCAAAGCCAGUUUCAACUUCAAUUUUUCUGAUUUUUUAUCAUCUUCCCUGGUCCACUUUAUGUCAUCUCCCUCUGUAGCAAGAUUUCUGAGAGAGAGAGGACAUGAUUUAUAUUUAGAGUGAAGGUUGAGCUACCCCCAGCCUAGGCCUCAGAUAUGGGCCUUGGCAAGGCCUUUGAAAGUUAUGGCGCAGUUAGAAAUUAGUUUGUGGUGCAGUAAGAAAUUAUGUUAAGGUGUGACCACAAAGUAAUGAGCUUUCUGAGUGUGAAUUAGUUUAGGUCUGCAGUGUGAAACUUUAGCCACCUUAAGACAAAGACAAACAAUGUUUGCUGGCCAAUGAUAGUGUUCUCACAAUUUGUAAACUAUAUUGAAGUGUAUAUAAACUGCCAUCUUAUAAACAAUAAACGAAGAAUGUAGCAUUAAA